ACACUGACUUCACAUUUCCUUCGUGAGAAGGAACUGAAGACAGAUUCCAGACUUGCUGUGCAUAGAAUGUAUAGUUCAUUGCAUAAUUAUUAAAAAUCCGAAUAUAAUAGAAGUCAGAACGCAUUGCCCAUAAUAAGGCAUGUUACUCAUUAGGCCACUGGAAUGCAACAACAUAGACUUCUAUAUCCAACUGGCUAAAGAAAGCUGCACAACUGGGCACAUUCGUGAAACUCCAGGUGAGAACACAGCAACAAGGCACCAUCUUGGAAGCAGACAGCAAC